rnacentral:tRNA from 1 species
UCCUUCCUAGCUCAGUUGGUAGAUCAUCUGCCGGCAAUGCAGGAGAUCCCGGGUUUGAUUCCUGGGUCAGGAA